GUUCCAAUCAUUUUCCCUCCUGCAAUCCUCUCAUCCAGCAGCGGUCUUCACAUCGUCCUCCAUAUCUUCGCAUCGCCGCGACGCCCCAUCGUGCGACGCCGACCAGGUGCGCCGCCGCGACAGCCCUCCACCUCGACCUGUCCGCGCCGGCAUUCCCGUUUGCGCGGCCACCUCGACAUCCCUCCACCUUCGCCUGGCCGCGCCACCCAUCCCCUGCCACCCGGUGCCGUCGGCACACCGCGCCGCCGCUUUUCAGCUGUUGCCGCCACCGUCGCUUCUCUCCCCUUGUUGCCCUCCGCCGGCCCUCGUCGCCACCGCCCCCCUCCUCCCCUCCUAGCGGCCGCCAGCUGCCAUCCCCCAGUCACAUCGCUGCCAUCCUCGCCGCGUCUCUCUGCCCUCCCCUGGCCGGCUAUCCUCCCUCCCCUCCAGCCGGCUCUCUGAUCUGCUUCCCACCAGCCACUUGCCUGCAUUGAUUCUGUAUUUGGAGUAGUUGACGCCUACUCAUUUGAUUCAGAAAAUUACAGAAUUGAGCUGCCUCCUGUGUCCUAACUUGACUGGUUGUCACUUGGUUUCUGAAAUUAUGUCCUGGAUGCUGAUCAUGGAGCUGUGGUUUACCCUGUCAGGAGGUCAGUAGCUCCUCCUGCAGUUCAGCAUUUGGGCGACGUCCUUGGGCAGUGUAACUGCGGCGCACCUGGUUGCCCUGAGAUGAUUCCGGCGCAAGCACAGUUCUGUUGUUUGCGUUGCAAGGCUGCAGUUCAUUGCUGUUUAUUUAUUAUUAUAAAGGAGUGUAAUGAACAAAAAAAAUUUAGUUGCCUUUUUAAAUAUUAGGAUUAAAUGAGCUGC
rnacentral:lncRNA from 1 species